rnacentral:rRNA from 1 species
GUAGGUGGCAAGCGUUGUCCGGAAUUAUUGGGCGUAAAGCGCGCGCAGGCGGUUCUUUAAGUCUGAUGUGAAAGCCCACGGCUCAACCGUGGAGGGUCAUUGGAAACUGGAGAACUUGAGUCCAGAAGAGGAAAGCGGAAUUCCACGUGUAGCGGUGAAAUGCGUAGAGAUGUGGAGGAACACCAGUGGCGAAGGCGGCUUUCUGGUCUGUAACUGACGCUGAGGCGCGAAAGCGUGGGGGAGCAAACAGGAUUAGAUACCCUGGUAGUCCACGCCGUAAACGAUGAGUGCUAAGUGUUAGGGGGUUUCCGCCCCUUAGUGCUGCAGCUAACGCAUUAAGCACCCCCGCCUGGGAGUACGGCCGCAAGGCUG